rnacentral:rRNA from 1 species
AGAGGACGACCAGCCACACUGGAACUGAGACACGGCCCAGACUCCUACGGGAGGCAGCAGUGGGGAAUUUUGGACAAUGGGCGCAAGCCUGAUCCAGCAAUGCCGCGUGCAGGAAGAAGGCCUUCGGGUUGUAAACUGCUUUUGUCAGGGAAGAAAUCUUCUGGGUUAAUACCUCGGGAGGAUGACGGUACCUGAAGAAUAAGCACCGGCUAACUACGUGCCAGCAGCCGCGGUAAUACGUAGGGUGCGAGCGUUAAUCGGAAUUACUGGGCGUAAAGCGUGCGCAGGCGGCUUUGCAAGACAGAGGUGAAAUCCCCGGGCUCAACCUGGGAACUGCCUUUGUGACUGCAAGGCUAGAGUACGGCAGAGGGGGAUGGAAUUCCGCGUGUAGCAGUGAAAUGCGUAGAUAUGCGGAGGAACACCAAUGGCGAAGGCAAUCCCCUGGGCCUGUACUGACGCUCAUGCACGAAAGCGUGGGGAGCAAACAGGAUUAGAUACCCUGGUAGUCCACGCCCUAAACGAUGUCAACUGGUUGUUGGACGGCUUGCUGUUCAGUAACGAAGCUAACGCGUGAAGUUGACCGCCUGGGG